rnacentral:rRNA from 1 species
CGCACAAGCGGUGGAGCAUGUGGUUUAAUUCGAAGCAACGCGAAGAACCUUACCAGGUCUUGACAUCCUUUGACCACUCUAGAGAUAGAGCUUCCCCUUCGGGGGCAAAGUGACAGGUGGUGCAUGGUUGUCGUCAGCUCGUGUCGUGAGAUGUUGGGUUAAGUCCCGCAACGAGCGCAACCCUUAUUGUUAGUUGCCAUCAUUCAGUUGGGCACUCUAGCAAGACUGCCGGUGACAAACCGGAGGAAGGUGGGGAUGACGUCAAAUCAUCAUGCCCCUUAUGACCUGGGCUACACACGUGCUACAAUGGGAAGUACAACGAGUUGCGAAGUCGCGAGGCUAAGCUAAUCUCUUAAAGCUUCUCUCAGUUCGGAUUGCAGGCUGCAACUCGCCUGCAUGAAGCCGGAAUCGCUAGUAAUCGCGGAUCAGCACGCCGCGGUGAAUACGUUCCCGGGCCUUGUACACACCGCCCGUCACACCACGAGAGUUUGUAACACCCGAAGUCGGUGAGGUAACCUUUUUGGAGCCAGCCGCCUAAGGUGGGAUAGAUGAUUGGGGUGAAGUCGUAA